GCAAGUCGAGCGCUUCUCCUUCAAGAGAAGAGCGGCGAACGGGUGAGUAACACGUAGGUAACGUACCUUCAGGUGGGGGAUAACUCAGGGAAACUUGAGCUAAUACCGCAUGUGACUUCGGUUGAAAGACUUCGGUUGCCUGAAGAUCGGCCUGCGGCCCAUUACCUAGAUGGUGAGGUAACGGCUCACCAUGGGAGCGAUGGGUAGCUGGUCUGAGAGGAUGAUCAGCCACACUGGGACUGAGACACGGCCCAGACUCCUACGGGAGGCAGCAGUGGGGAAUAUUGGACAAUGGGCGAAAGCCUGAUCCAGCCACGCCGCGUGAGUGAUGAAGGCCCUCGGGUUGUAAAGCUCUGUCGGGAGGGACGAAGUUCUGACGGUACCUCCCAA
rnacentral:rRNA from 1 species